UUGAAACCUGCCGUGAACUAAGAGUGGCGUUCGGGCAGAGGGAAUUCCUGGUGUAGCGUGAAAUGCGUAGAUAUCAGAGACACCAGUGCGAAGCGCUCAACUGGGCCCAUAACUGACACUCAGGGACGAAAGCUAGGGUAGCGAAAGGGAUUAGAUACCCCUGUAGUCCUAGCUGUAAACGAUGAACACUAGGCGUUGCUUGUAUCGACCCGAGCAGUGCCGUAGCCAACGCGUUAAGUGUUCCGCCUGGGGAGUACGCACGCAAGUGUGAAACUCAAAGGAAUUGACGGGGGCCCGCACAAGCGGUGGAGUAUGUGGUUUAAUUCGAUGCAACGCGAAGAACCUUACCAGGACUUGACAUCUCGAGAAGUCCUCCUAAUAGAGGAUGCGCCUUAGGGAACUCGAAGACAGGUGGUGCAUGGCUGUCGUCAGCUCGUGUCGUGAGAUGUUGGGUUAAGUCCCGCAACGAGCGCAACCCUCGUUCUUAGUUGCCAUCAUUAAGUUGGGCACUUUAGGAAGACUGCCGGUGACAAACCGGAGGAAGGUGGGGAUGACGUCAAGUCAGCAUGCCCCUUACGUUCUGGGCUACACACGUACUACAAUGGUUGGGACAAAGGGCAGCAAGCUCGCAAGAGUAAGCGAAUCUCAUCAAACCCAGCCUCAGUUCAGAUUGCAGGCUGCAACUCGCCUGCAUGAAGGAGGAAUCGCUAGUAAUCGCAGGUCAGCAUACUGCGGUGAAUUCGUUCCCGGGCCUUGUACACACCGCCCGUCACACCAUGGAAGUUGGCCACGCCCGAAGUCGUUACCCUAACCGUUUACGGAGGGGGAUGCCGAAGGCAGGGCUGGUGACUAGGGUGAAGUCGUAACAAGGUAACCA
rnacentral:rRNA from 1 species